AUCCAGCUGACGAGUCCCAAAUAGGAUGUAACGCGCAUCACGGAU
rfam:Schistosoma curassoni strain Dakar, Senegal genome assembly, scaffold: SCTD_scaffold0007248